UUGAGAUUUUCCAGACUGAAUUUUGUUCCCUUACAAAAGGGGUUAAAAUGAUCUUUGGCAAACUACCAGAUGACUACAAAUACAUUUAACUCGACCUUGCUCCAAUAUUAACAUUUUCACAAACCACAGUAGACAGACCCUUGCUGUUUCUUCAUUAUCCUUUCCAGCUGUGGCUGAAAGCCCAAAUGAUUCCACUUUACCCGAGAGGUAUUCUGAACGUGUUUCCUACUUUAAUCACAUCCUUUCAGCACCAGGAGGCUUCGCCUGACAGAUUAUCUUCUCCACAGGCAGGCAGCCACAUCCAGACUUUGAUGGGGUCCCAAAGCCUGCAGCAUCGCAGCCGGGAGCAGCAGCCAUAUGAAGGAAAUAUAAACAAAGUGACCAUCCAGCAAUUUCAGUCACCAUUGCCUAUUCAGAUCCCCUCUUCACAGGCCACGCGGGGACCUCAGCCUGGACGGUGCUUAAUUCAAACUAAAGGGCAAAGGAGUAUGGAUGGCUAUCCAGAGCAGGUGAGAAGAAUUGU
rnacentral:lncRNA from 1 species